AUGGCGGGGAGAAGGGAAUGCUCUGCACCACAGCAGGGCACGCAGCAUGGCAGUAUCCCGACACUGCUGGGCCAUGUGGGGUUACUUCAGGCUGCUGGGCUGCUCUCCUCUGCAAAAGAAGCCCAGCCGAGCCUGCCUGCCCCACUGCCAAGCAGCUCCCUGCAGCCUGGGCCCUCCCUGACAUCGGAACUGAGAGCUGGGAAUCCAGAGUGGGGCUGGCACCAAGAGGAUGGGGUGGGCGGGGGACUGGGGGCAGCUGGGGCAGGGGGAGUCCUUCAGUAUGGGAAGGGGCAUCUGCAGGCCCAUGUUGGGAUCCUUGGGCAGUGUGGGGGACCCACAGCAGGGCUGGGGGAGUCUGGGGCUAGAGCAUGGGUCCUGAGUGGGGCUUGGGCUGGGCACAGUGAUGGGACAUCCCUGCCCUGUCGCUGUGGGCCUUUCCACAUUAAGGAAGGGCUGGAGCAGAAGCCACACCUGCUGCUGUUCCCUUGCUGCAGGAUGGAACAGAGAACCCCAAGCCAACCCCAAGAGGCCUGGUCGGAGAGGCCUAGGGCACUCCGCACCCCCAGGGCCCAGCAGGGGCCCGACGAGGUGUAUGAGGUGCAGCCCUUGCAGGGGCUCUUAGACUCAGGUGAGGGUCCUUCUGCCUCGGACAUGUCGCCACAGCAGGAGGAUCCCCUGAGCUGCAUCCGUGCCUGCUGCAUGUGCAGACCCCAGGCAGAGGCACAGAAGCUGAGCUUUCUGGCCUCCAUCUGCACCAUCUGCGAAGCUGCCCUUGAGGACAGCGGUGCGCAUUACCGGCUGUGCGUCUGCCCGCUGGAGGUGGCGCAGUGCAUUGAGGAGCUGCUGCAGGAGGAGCCCGCCGAGCGCCUGGACACGGAGCUGCGGCAGCAGGCCAUGAACGCCAUCGCCGCCAUGAGCAGAGCGUGGCUGCUUCCAGAGGAGCGGAAGAGCAGCCUCCUGCGGGCCUGCCUUGGCAGCGUCCUCCACCUCCCUCGCCACGAGGACACACAGGACCGGGAUGCUGCACUCUACAUGGAGACCAUGGAAGCCCUGCACCGCCUGCUGCAGGUGUUGGUGGGCAGCGCCGGCACCUCUGUCCUCAUGGAGCUGCAGAACAUCUUGGAGCUCCUGCUGCCCUUCACCACGUGCCAGCUGGCAGCUGUGGAGGAGAGGGCCAUGGCGUGCAUUGCCAGGCUGCUCGCCUUCAGCAACACCUGCCCCUUGCCCGAGGUGUGCUCCUGCUUCACAGGAGCUGUGGUGCUCCGGCAUCAGUGCACAGAGAACCAACGCUUCCCUGUGCUGGGGAAACUGUCUGAACACCUCAUCUGUGGAGCUGCAGCACAGGAUGGGAGGACCAGAGAUGAGGCAAUGAAGGCUGUCCAUCAGCUUUUCAUUUUCAUCACCUCCCAAAGUGAGAGGAGUUGUGUUGGGUCCCUCCUGACCCCCAGGUGCCCAGGCCCCUCACUGACAUUGUGUGUGCUCCUCUCCAGGAAUGUGGAUGUGGCAGAAGGAUCCCAAGAAACCACAACUUUGGGAGGGCCAGCAAAUUUUGCUCCUCCAGGAGGUUUCCCAAGAGAACAAUGCCAGAAAUAUCUUUGAGGUACAAAGAGCAAACCCUGAGCCCACAGGAGAACCCAGGCCUGCAGCGUCAGGAAGAGUGCAGGCACUGUCCCCGAGCAGCCCUGGUGCAUGUAGGGCCCUCCUGCUCUGUACCCCAGGCAUCACCCAGCCCAACCCCUGCUCCCAGCUCUACUGAGGCACCAGCACAGACAAGCAGACAUGCAGGGGAUGAGUUGUUCCUUCUCUCCUUCCUCCCGCAGGUCCUUCUGAAAUACCUCCUGUAUCCUGAAAGGGUCAAUGUCUUCCUCACAGCCAUCGAGAGCAUGACAGUGCCGAGCCUCCACAGCACCGAGCUGGCUGCCCACAUGGUGGAUGUGCUCACAGCAGAGGCUCAUUUCCCUUCAGGGCAGGUGGGAACCUGCUGCUGCCAAGGCUCCAGACCUCGGGGCUCUGCUCCAGCCCUGGCACUGGCACCACCCUUGGCCAGCAGGCAGCAGUGGGGAUGGCAGCAGGGCCCUGCUCCAGUGCCAUCCCAUUCUCACCCGUGUCCCCCUCCAGGUGCGAAAGAUCGUGAAGGUGAUCUACAGCAGCCUGCCUUCCAUCACAGCCCAGCCGGCUCUAGAAAGCCUGGGCAGGGCCCUGCUCAUGCUGGCCAGCAAAUACCCCAGGGAGAUGGUUAGCAGCCUGCUGGGCUGCUCCCCCACCUGCACCAGGUAUGGGGCCCGCAGCCCUCAGGGCUCCUCUCCCCUCCCCACCCUACAGCCAUCAGCCAGGUGGGGGCAGCCACGCUGACAGCCCUGGGGACCCGCAGUGUCACCAUCACCAUGUGGAGGGAAAUGCUCUCAGAGUCCCCGGCCGUGGAGAAGGUGCUGCAGGAGCUGCUCCGAGUGCUCACAAACCAUUCCCUGAGGCACACGUCCCCAUCCAUCGAGGACUGGCCACGUGUACUCGCCCUGGCUGUGAGUUCCUCACUCAUCCAGCUCAGCCUGAGUCCUUGCUCCCCUUCCCUGUCCACCCCCAAGCCUGGUUCCUGCCCUGGGCACGGGGAUGCACCCCUAGACCUGCCUGGUGCUCUGGGGGUCUCCCUCCCCAUUUUUCACUCCAUCCCCACGCCUCUCGAGGUGGGCUGGAAACCUGGGGGACAGGGCAAGGACGGUGUCUGUGUGCUUUCUGCAGGCAGCAAGGAUCCUGCCUGAGAUAAUCCAGCUGCCUCUUGUCCUGAAGGAGGCUGAGGCCAUUUUCCCCCAGCUCUUCCUGGCUCUCCUCUUGCAAGUGUCCUUCACCAUGGAGCUGACACUGCAGGAGGUGGAAAUCUUCUGGGAGGUGCACCAGCAGCACCAUCUCACUCCCAUCAGGUGCCACAUCCCCAUCCCCCCGCUGCAUCCAGGGACCUGGUGCUGGGCUCCCAAUGUGACUCACACCCUUCUCCACCUGCAGGGCUGCGGUGCAGUCCUUGAAGGUGCUGCUCUGCGGUGUGGGCCUCCAGAAGCAA
rnacentral:lncRNA from 7 species